ACUCCUUCCCUUCCACGUCCUCCUUCUGCAAGUGUGGGACGGAGACCGCCGCAUCCUGAUUACGCUGGCCAGAGUAGAAGCUCACGUUGCUGGGGGAGAGGCCGCUGAGGUACAGCGCUGCGGGCGGAGGUCUUCCACGGUAGCCCUGGUGGAAUCCCAGCUACCCCUCACCCCAAGCUCUGACUGCUCACACAGGGCUCUAAUUUGGAAUCACAGAGCCAGCAACGUUUUGGAGGGAAAGGGACCCACACACUGAGCCUCCCUAGCUUCUCCCAAACACUUUUCCACCUGGACCAGAACGCAGUUUUGGCCACCUGUGGCAGUGGCGUUCCUG